GCGGACGUGGUGCACAGCGCACGGCUGCGAUCCGUGGAAGGAAAUUUCUAUAGAUUGAGCAGCAGGACGGGGUUCGACUCCCCGCGUCCGCA